AGUAUGAUUCGGUAGUACACUGCAUCUCUACAAACAUGUUCGGCAAAAUUUUGGUCCUCUUUGCUGUCCUGGCUGUGGCGUUCGCCGCACCCAAUCCUGCGCCAGAACCAAAGCCCCAGUACUUGGCCUACACCUCUGGUCUGGGCUAUAGCGUGCCUGCCGCUGUCUCUGGCUACGUUUCUCCCUACGCAGCGGCCCCUGUUGCCUACUCUGCCUACCCUGGAGCUUACUACGUCCGCUGAAAACCAACAAUACCAUUUUAACUCC